rnacentral:rRNA from 1 species
UUCCGGUCGAUCCUGGCGGAGGUUACUGCUAUCGGGGUUCGACUAAGCCAUGCGAGUCGAAUGUAGCAAUACAUGGCGUACUGCUCAGUAACACGUGGACAACCUACCCUCCGGACGGGGAUAAACCCGGGAAACUGGGUAUAAUACCCGAUAGAUCUCGGCUGCUGGAAUGCAUCGAGCUCUAAAGCUCCGGCGCCUGAGGAUGGGUCUGCGGCCUAUCAGGUAGUAGUGGGUGUAGCGUACCUACUAGCCUACGACGGGUACGGGUUGUGAGAGCAAGAGCCCGGAGAUGGAUUCUGAGACACGAAUCCAGGCCCUACGGGGUGCAGCAGGCGCGAAAACUUUACAAUGCCGGCAACGGCGAUAAGGGGACCUCGAGUGCCAGGUUACAAAUCUGGCUGUCGUGAUGCCUAAAAAGCAUUGCAUAGCAAGGGCCGGGCGAGACCGGUGCCAGCCGCCGCGGUAACACCGGCGGCUCGAGUGGUAACCGUUAUUAUUGGGUCUAAAGGGUCUGUAGCCGGCCGGAUAAGUCUCUUGGGAAAUCCAGCAGCUCAACUGUUGGGCUUUCAGGAGAUACUGUCUGGCUCGAGGCCGGGAGAGGUGAGAGGUACUUCAGGGGUAGGGGUGAAAUCUUGUAAUCCUUGAAGGACCACCAGUGGCGAAGGCGUCUCACCAGAACGGACCUGACGGCAAGGGAC